UCCCCUUAUAAUUUCCUCUCUCCCUCCCCUUUUCUCUCGUUCAGACAAGGAGGGAGUAAGUAAAGAGGGUGGAAGUAGCACCGACGAUCGGUACCACAGUCUACACCGAGGGGAUCACCAGUCGCCCCGUGACUCCCGCGCGAGAAACAACUUCCGUCUUCUCUGCUCUCUCUCUCUCUCUGCUCUUUCUCACUGCCGCAAAGUUCGUCGUUUCGGUUUUGUUUUUGGCGCAAAAGUUUCCAUUAAAAAAAACAAAAAAAAAAACUAAAUAAAAACUCGGUGUGGUGAAUUUUGAUUCGCUUCGUUGUUAGACUUUUUACAAAACUUUUUUAAACAACUUUUUGGGGUGUGUGUUGAUCGACGGACUUGGUUUUAUUUUCGGAUGCGCGCCCAAAAGUGUGUUGGCCAUUGACAGCAACAAACACCCCCCUGACGGUUAUUUCCUUCCGGACAUCUCUAUUCUAUAACAGCUUUCUAUUAACAGAUUGAUAUUGUCUUGUUGCCUUUCGGAUCCAUCUGUAGCUGCUAGUCAUCCGGAAUCCGUCGGCUCGGCGGAUGCGUUUACUUUGUGCUGGUUGACUAUUUUGGAGACCAAAUGGUCUUGAAUGGGUUCUGACGCUGCCGUGACCCUCAACCACAAUGAACCAGCCUCUCCUGAUCAGACGGUUGUUUACGAUGUCUUGGCUCCUGGUGGCUUUGGGAUUUCUCCUAGCGGCUUCAUCGGCCUCGGCCUCCAAUCGUGAAAAGCUGGCCGGAUCACACCAGCAACUUGGACGGAUGACUCACCAGCACCACCAACGCAACGGCACUUUGCGAAAUGGCGGCGUGAAACGGGCGGUGGCGGGGCCAACAGAGACGACGGACGUCAAAUCGACGUCGUCCGACGCCCUGUCCAAUUCGCCUCCGUUCGUGGUGGCCGAAGCGGAGCCGUCGCCACACAAGACGAUGAUCGCCGUCCAGACGUCGCUCAACGGCAACAUCUUCAUGCACUGCCCAGUGGACAUGACGGAAGACUUUCAGGUCUCCUGGGUGCGGUUACCCGACUGGCGAAUCGUGGCUUCGGGGCGGAACAUUUAUAACAAGGACGAACGAUUCCGGGUCCUGCACGUCGAAGGCACCGACGAGUGGACGCUGCAGAUCAAGUACGCUGCCCUGGUCGACCAAGGACUCUACGAAUGUCAGGUUUCCACCGAAACGGGGAUCAUGAUUUACUAUUACAACGUCAGUGUCAUCGUGCCGGACACGUCCAUCGUCGGCGGAAGCGAGUACCACGUCGACAUGGGCAGCGCCAUCCAGCUGACUUGCAUCAUCAGAAAUAUUCCUCAGGAGCCGCAGUUUGUCUUCUGGUAUCACAACGACCGGAUGAUCAAUUAUGACUCAAUAACUGACAGCGCCAGUAGCAGCAGUUCGGGGUCGAAGACUUCCAGCGAGGCCGGCAGCAGCUCGUCCAGCGACCGAAACGGGAGCCGGACGAGAGCAAAGACCCGCCCGCGCGUGGAGGUGAUCACGGAAAUUGAAAACAAUUCAAUGACGGACGAUCGCGAGCAGCAGCCAGCCGAAGGUGCAGCAGCAGCAGCGGCAGAUCGAAGUGUCACUAGUCAGUUGACGAUACGCCACGUCACCGAUCUGGACUCUGGCAACUACACUUGCGCCCCGUCCAACGCCGAGCCGGCCAGCACCAUGGUCUACGUCUCCGAAGGAGACGACGCCGCCGCCGCCAUUCAAGUCAGCGUCGGAGAGACGACAAAUGUCAGUGACGUCGUGCCAGCCAAUUCGGCCGUUUCGGCCGCUUCGUCGCCCAUUUCCACAGCAACUGCGGCCGCCUGUACGACGAGUCGAACGUCGCCGUUUGCGCUCCUAUUCCUUUCAUCCUGCCUCCUGGCAUUGGCCAACCGUCAAGUCGACCCAAGGUGAUUUGUCUUUUCUCACGACCGUGGAGAACAGACAGCAAAAAAAUAAAAACACAAAAUGUUUUUCACUCGAAAAUGAAAGGGAAAAAAACAAAAAAAAAUAAAAAUAACAGAUGGGCCUAUCGACUGAAUUUCGUAUCGUGUCAUCAUUUUACUAAUACCUGAUUUCGGUGUGUUUCAUUUUAACGAGAGGAGAAAGAGAACUACAUCCGUUGAAUGCCGAUGCUCCUCUUGAUUGAUUUCAAAGAUAUAUUUAUAAAUAAAAACAAACAAACAAACAGUAUACAUACUAACUACAUACAGUUUUACAAUGGCUAAAUAGUCACUUGAUUCCUGUGGUAUAUACGUGUAAAGUAUUAUUGCGAUGUCAAACAUUAUUGAUAUUUAUUCGAUGUCAAUUUCAACCCUGCGCCCACAACAGUGAAAUUAUAAUCUCCGUGUUUUCAUAUUUGAGUUGGAUUCGAUUGAGACUCUCAGUCUGGCUGAUAUUAUAUUUUAAAUACGGUUGCCAUUGUCAUCCUCUUCGAUUCGUCUAGCUCCAUUUCCAAUCGAUAGGUUUUCCAAGUGGAAAAAUUGUUGAUUCUAUUGAUUGGCUGAGAUUGAUUGACGUGUGUAAAACCCCCCUUUCAUUUAAAAAAAAAAGCUGGUGUUAUAUCAUUUUAAUUUGCUUAUUAUGUCAGCCGAUUAUGUUGUCAAUAAUCCAAUAUGCGAAUUGCAGCUACUGUAAUAGUGUGUGACAUUUGCUUACCCAUCCCUUGAUAAAACUGACACGAGAUGGGUAGACGACAUUUCCUGCACUAUUUACAUCAGUACCUGUGGAAACUGCACGUAAAUGAGACGGUCAGAGAUGAUAAAACUGAUAUUCAUGUGUACAGAGUGAGCGAAAUUUAUUAGCUUUACGAUUAUAUAAAUGGUGAAGUGUGUGCUCGGCGUUCCCGGCAUCCCAGUUUGUCAUCUCCUUAAUUUUCCAAGUCCUGAUCAUACUCAAAAGCAUCUCAUCACACAGCGCGUGUAUAUCUUCUCGAAACUGUGUAUAUAUGCCGCGUGGUGAUUGUGUCAAGAGAGAGGAGCAACAGCCAAUACAUUCUGACAUUUAAAAGGAAAAAAAAAUCUGUUGACGACGACACAAAGAAAGCCAGCAAGCUUCUGAGAAAGACAACGGCUUGUCUUUAGUGACCCAGGCCGUUUCCAUUGUUAGAUUAAGACCCACCGAGAGCUCUGCAAGGGAGAUCCGACACGAUAACAACGACCACAUUGCUACUACUACCCUACUACAAGAUUGGGAAUUCACGCUCUACUCGAAAGUGCCAUGACCGCGUUUGAUUUAUCCGAAGUCCGAACAAGCUUCACUGGCAUCGCUGCUCUAGACGCGUCCGGGCACGUCUGAACAUGCCGAAUUUCGUACAGUCACGUCUGGUACCAAAUAGCGUGAGUUUUUCCCGACGUAUCAGCAGUGUUCCUCGAGCGCUCUGACUCACCACUUCAGCCACUAUCGUCCAGAAUCUCUUCCGGCCACUCCCUCCGAUGCUCUCAUAUUUGUCAAGAACGAUCACGGCACCUGAAUUCUCAUUUGCAUAUAAUAUAUAGGUCAAGAACGAUCACGGCACCUGAAUUCUCAUUUGCAGUGGAUUCUCCGUCUCAUAUUCUAACGCAGUCUGUUCUCUACUCUUCUGCACACAUUUAAAGGAAAAUCAGAAAAAAAUUGGACUAUUUUGUGAAAAUCUGACAUGAAUUUUUCAGGAUUUAUAUUUGAUUCUCACGGCAAUGUUGUUACAUACAUUGAUGGAGCUUGUCCGUUUAAUGGCUAUCCGCAUGCUAAGGGAGGGAUAGGUGUAUGGUUCGGCGACGAUCAUCCCUUAAACGUGAGCGAGCCAUUGGAUCGCGAAGGAUUUCCUCCCACCAACCAGGUGGCGGAAAUUAAAGCAGCAAUCAGAGCUUGUCAAAUCUUAAAAGAUUUUGGCGUUAGACGGGUGUCAUUUUACACAGAUUCGCAGUAUCUAAUUGAUUCGAUGACCAACUGGAUCAACAAAUGGAUGAAAAACGGCUGGUUAAAAUCUGACGGAACACCGCUAAAGCAUAAGCAUUAUUACCAGGAGCUGCUUAAUUUAAUAGAUAAUUUUAAAGUUUACUGGGUACACGUUCCAUCGGCGGAGAACAAAGCCGACCGUUUGGCAAAGAAAGGCGCCGAAAAAUAUUGAAGAAUAACUCUCUCUGAGCUGGCUCUUAUUUUGUUUCUCUCAAAUCUCAAAGAAUGCCAUGCUAGACAUGCAAAAAUUCAAUAAAUAAACUCAAUGGUUUACAUUUACAAGUUUAGUUUUUUUUUCUGUAUCCCUCCCCCUGUCUUACGUUCGCCAAUUUCUCAUUGGCCAAUUAUUUUUUUCAUUGGAUUAGUAUUGGCGAAAGCGUUUGUAUAAUAUAUGGUGUUUUCUUCUUUACUCGUUAAUAAAUUCAAAAAUAGUGUUUAGUU